rnacentral:rRNA from 1 species
CCUACGGGGGGCUGCAGUGGGGAAUUUUGCGCAAUGGGCGAAAGCCUGACGCAGCAACGCCGCGUGGGUGAUGAAGGUCUUCGGAUCGUAAAACCCUGUCGUUGGGGACGAAGGUGGGGGCGUUCAUAGCGUUUCUGCUUGACGGUACCCGGAGAGGAAGCCCCGGCUAACUCUGUGCCAGCAGCCGCGGUAAUACAGAGGGGGCAAGCGUUAUGCGGAAUUAUUGGGCGUGGAGGUCUAGUAGGCGGGUGUAAUCCCCGAGCUCAACGUGGGAACUGUAUCUGAGACUGGAAGGCUAGAGUACUGGAGAGGGGGGUGGAAUUCCUCGUGUAGCGGUGAAAUGCGUAGAGAUGAGGAGGAACACCAGUGGCGAAGGCGGCCACCUGGACAGUAACUGACGCUGAGGCGCGAAAGUGUGGGUAGCAAACAGGAUUAGAUACCCGUGUAGUC